UACGUAGGGGGCAAGCGUUGUCCGGAAUCAUUGGGCGUAAAGCGCGCGUAGGCGGCCCGGUAAGUCCGUUGUGAAAGUCAAAGGCUCAACCUUUGAACGCCGAUGGAUACUGCCGGGCUAGAGUCCGGAAGAGGCGAGUGGAAUUCCUGGUGUAGCGGUGGAAUGCGCAGAUAUCGGGAAGAACACCCGUGGCGAAGGCGGUUCUCUGGGACGGUACUGACGCUGAGACGCGAAAGCGUGGGGAGCGAACAGG
rnacentral:rRNA from 1 species